rnacentral:miRNA from 1 species
UUGUGUCUGUCUGGCUCCCAG